UUAAAAGACCCAAGCAAGCACGUAUGGGCUUAUUACUUGAAGCCCAUAUAAAAGGACGUCGGAGCGUGAUGUCCACUCUCAUGAAAGGCGCGUUAGAUAAGAAUUUAACGUUCAAGCAAGCCACGAGAACGCAACAUUCCGCUUCCCUUCACUCAGCCGUGAUUAAUCUCCGAUUAGGUUUUCGUCGAUUCUCUUCCGUCUCUGCAGCGACCCAAAAAAAAACCCUAAUUUUUAUCAAUUCCAAUUCUCAAUUUCCCCCACAUGGGUGAACACUCACCUUCUCAACCAUCUUCACAUACUCAUCUCCACGACCAACCCAAUCCCGAAAACCCUAAUCCGAUCCCACCGGAAACCUACGAUGACGACUCCGCUUCAUCCACCGGAGUCUCUGGCUCAAUCGUCUCAUCAACCACCAUUGAAGCACCACGGGUCACUGAAUUAGGCAAUGUAUCGUCACCACCUUCCAAAAUCCCACUCCGUCCUCGAAAAAUCCGGAAGCUUUCACCCGACGACGACGCUUCCGGUAACAUCGAGCCGGAGCAUAACCUUUCUCAGAUGAUGACGCCGCCACUCGUGACGGCUACAAAACAACCCGUGAAGAGUAAAUUAUCACAGUCACGCGCUAUAACCGUGCCGAGGAUCCACGCGAGGUCUCUGACAUGUGAAGGCGAGCUUGAAACAGCGCUUCACCAUCUCCAAAGUGUUGAUCCUCUGCUCGCGUCGUUGAUUGAUAUCCACCCGCCACCAACGUUCGAGUCUUUUCAUACUCCGUUCUUGGCUCUGAUUAGAAGCAUUCUCUAUCAGCAGCUUGCAGCUAAGGCUGGGAACUCAAUCUACACACGCUUCGUUGACAUGUGCGGAGGUGAAAACGGCGUCGUCCCGGAGAAUGUGUUGCCUUUGACACCUCAACGGCUUCGUCAAAUCGGUGUUUCAGGGCGUAAAGCGAGUUACCUUCACGAUCUUGCUAGGAAAUAUCAAAACGGGAUCUUGUCGGAUUCUGCAAUUGUUAACAUGGAUGAGAAGUCUUUGUUCACGAUGCUAACGAUGGUGAAUGGGAUUGGGUCAUGGUCGGUUCAUAUGUUUAUGAUAAACUCUCUUCAUAGACCCGAUGUGUUGCCAGUUAAUGAUCUUGGUGUAAGGAAAGGUGUGCAGAUGCUUUACGACUUGCCGUGUUUGCCUCGUCCAUCGCAAAUGGAGCAGCUUUGCGAGAAAUGGCGUCCGUAUAGAUCAGUAGCGUCAUGGUACAUGUGGCGGCUUGUUGAAUCUAAAGGUAGACCUCCUAAUGCUUCCACUGUGACUGCCGGAGCUGCUCUUUCGUUUCCACAGUUGGAAGACAUUCAAGAACAACAACAGCAGCAGCAACAACAGCCUCAGCUUAUGGACCCUCUUAAUAGUGUGUUCAGUAUCGGGGCAUGGGGCCAAACGUAGCUGACUUGGGACCAUAAUUAUUGUCUUUCAUGGCGGGAUAGGGAUUCCGCCGGUGGUCUUUGGCUAUUGUCUGGUGAAGAAGUCUUUCUUCCGCUUCCGCAGCCAGGAAAUAAGAAUAAAAAAGGCUAUGGAACAGAAAUCUUUAUUAGCAAGUGAAGAUCACAAGAAAGUCAUAAGACAGAGGUUAUGUCCUUGUUGCGUUGAGUUGUCAAAACACAGUAACCACAUGGAAGAAAAAAGACGAAGCCUUUCGAUGAUACACAUCAGUUUUGGGAUCUUCUAUUAUGAGUUUAAAGACAACGGAGUUGAUGAAAAACUUCUGUUGGUUUGUUGCCUCGUGUCACUGUAACUGAGACACAGAUCCGUCUUUCUACACCACACAAUUAAAGCUCUGUUUUAGUAAGAAAGAAAGUGAAGCAUGGGGAGGGUGAGAGACUUGAGAGCCAAACAAAAACUCAUAAGGGUUUUGUAGAAAACAACAAAGCAAGUGUUCUGAAACAGCGAGGUAAGAGGAAGUACUGGUUUUGGCUACAAAACAAGUUGCAACACAAAACCCUCAAGUUUUGUUUUUCAGAAAGAGUAGAGAGCUGAUAGGGACAAAUCAC